CCUACGGGAGGCAGCAGUGAGGAAUAUUGGUCAAUGGGCGGGAGCCUGAACCAGCCAAGUCGCGUGAGGGAAGACGGUCCUAUGGAUUGUAAACCUCUUUAGGCGGGGAGCAAUGCCGGGCACGCGUGCCCGGAGGGAGAGUACCCGCAGAAUAAGCAUCGGCUAACUCCGUGCCAGCAGCCGCGGUAAUACGGAGGUUGCGAGGGUUAUCCGGAUUUAUGGGGUUUAAAGGGGUCGUAGGCGGAUUUUUAAGUCAGCGGUAAAAUGUCCGGGCUCAACCCGGGCCGGCCGUUGAAACUGGGGAUCUUGAGUGGGCGAGAAGUAGGCGGAAUGCGUGGUGUAGCGGUGAAAUGCAUAGAGAUCACGCAGAACUCCGAUUGCGAAGGCAGCAUACCGGCGCCCGACUGACGCUGAGGCACGAAAGCGUGGGGAUCGAACAGGAUUAGAUACCCCGGUAGUC
rnacentral:rRNA from 1 species